UACGUAGGGUCCAAGCGUUAUCCGGAAUCACUGGGCGUAAAGCGUACGUAGGCGGUUCGUUAAGUGAGAUGCGAAAUCUUGUGGCUCAACCAUAUAGAUGUUGUCUCAUACUGGCGAGCUUGAGGAUGGCAGAGGCAAGUGGAAUUACUAGUGUAGCAGUGAAAUGCGUAGAUAUUAGUAGGAACACCAAUGGCGAAGGCAGCUUGCUGGGCCAUAUCUGACGCUGAGGUACGAAAGCGUGGGGAGCGAACAGG
rnacentral:rRNA from 1 species